rnacentral:rRNA from 1 species
UACGUAGGGGGCAAGCGUUGUCCGGAAUCAUUGGGCGUAAAGAGCGCGUAGGCGGCCCUGUAAGUCCGCUGUGAAAGUCAAAGGCUCAACCUUUGAAUGUCAGCGGAUACUGCCGGGCUAGAGUCCGGAAGAGGCGAGUGGAAUCCUGGUGUAGCGGUGGAAUGCGCAGAUAUCAGGAGGAACACCAGUGGCGAAGGCAGGUCUCGCUGGGACGAACUUGA